AUAAGUUUUAGAGCAAAAAUUGAUAUAAGACCCUGCCUUCUUUCCAGGGAAACAGGGUAUAGGUUAGAGUAUGCAAAUAAGAAGAAUUAAACCAAUGCUCAGUUUCCUCUUCAGCCAGCAGGGAUUUAAAAUUGGGACAGGAGAAGAACAGAGUCUGGAGACUGCUAGAAACAGGGAAGAAGGACAAUGAAGAUAACAGCUGAGUUGAAGAGGCUAAAUUCUGUCUUCCUUCGAGUAGGAAGAGACCCAUCAAAUAAUACUUCCUCUAAUCAGACCUGGAUUUAUUUUCCUCUUUUCAGAUUGCUUCAGAUGCUUAGAGGAUUUCUUUGGCUGUGACUUCUGACAGCACCUGAACUGCUAUUUCUGGAGGGCACAGGUAAAGAAUGACCAGGAGAAGACAACAUUUCACACCAGACAUCCUUGCCUUGGGAAAACUCUUUUGAGUAGUCUUCCUCACAUAAUGACACCCCACUUAUUUAUUUGUGGUGAUAUUCCUAGAGAAAAACUGUGUCCCACUUGUAUCAAUGCUAUUUAGGUAUCUUAGUGUAGAAGAUAAUGUUAACAAUGAAAUUAAGUAUAUUAUGGCCAAACUAGAAUGUGCUGGGGCUUGCAAAAACACAGGAAUUCUGUCUAAAUCCUACUCCUUUUGGUGAUGUUGAGCUUCUUCUUCUUCCAGGCUGAUAAGACUGUUAAUUAGAUUUGUAUGUUAGAAUAUCUCCAAAGUAAAUUCCAUUCUUCCCAUAAAAUGUCAUUCUUCAUCUCAAGGCAAAGUCUUAGAGCUUGGAAUAACCUACCCAGAACAUUGGACCUCUACCUUGGUGCAAUGAAUCUUUUUUUUCUAACAAUAUCAAGACAUAUGAUCUACUAAUCAUCUUUUAAAUAGGUAAAAAAUGGCACAUUAAAGUUACAUAAAUCAC